rnacentral:ncRNA from 1 species
CUAGGGCUGGGAAGCUUCGAUCCUUGGACUGCAUAUCGGUCACCGAUGUCCAAGGGGAGCCAAUGGUGAGACCGAACCGUCCUUGA